GCCGACUGAUAUUUUUUCACCCUCUGAGCAAAAAUAAAAAAACCUGUGCUGUUCCAUCCGUCUCGCUCUGGAUCAGCUAAGACUGUUGGAAAAGAAGCUCUUGAAAGAGGCCUACACCUACCGUCGAGGAUUAACACAUUAUUUACGUUUUAAAUACGAUUUGUAUGUAAUUCAAAUUAUUAACUUGCUUUUAUUUUGUAAGCUUAUUAACAUCCUUCGGACUAUUUUUUAUGAUUUCCUUACUUUAUUUGUGUUCUACGGGAAAAUGCAAGAAUCCACGAGGUCGAUUAGAAACAAUGGCGGGACGGCAUGCGCUUUUUUCGGUAUGAUCCGCUGGAAACUCCGCUGAAAGCCUGCGGCUUCGGACAGUGCUUUAUAAAUUAAAAUAAACAUUCGAGAGACGUUGUUAUUUUAAACAUUUGAUGUUUUUGUAACAAUUUUAAGAAUUAUUACGUUAUUGUAGCUCAAUGUAAAAUAAAAAGAAUAGACUUCUACAUCCAGGCCAUUGUGUUCUACAAAAAGGCGCUAGCCUAAGUUUUCUUGUUACCGAUAUUCAUAUAAAUAAUCGCAAAUCCAAUGUUUCGUAAACGGUUUAAUUUGAUUAUCUCAUAUUGUUUGUUGUUGUCGCUAGUGUAGAGUGUAGUUAUGAAUUUGUAGUAAUGUUACAUAGCGACUUCUAGUGAGCUUUUGCUUGUUAGCCGCCAUUCUUUGUGGAAUGGGAACAUUAACGGCACCCGUUUAAAGUUAUUUUCUUUGAAAUAUUAGUUUACACCGUCAAAAUAUUAGUGUAUAUAUUUGUGUAAUUGAGUACAUAGGUUUAUAUCAGGGCAAAGCAACAUUAUUCGGAUACAUAUUUAUAGAUUGAGUACAUUGUAGUUUACAGUGUAGAGAGAUGGUUGUGUAAAAAAAAAAAAAAAAAAAACCUUUUUAAGUUGUUUUUAUAGGUUCAGUCACAUUUUAUACUUGAUGUAGUCUCUUUGUUACAUAUUGAUAUAGACACCAGAAAUAUAUCAGACAGUCGUUUACACGAACAAUAACGACUUUGAUCGAUUUUUGCUAUUAAAAAAAGCUAUUUUCGUUGAUCUUGGUCCUGUCCUGGUCCUGUAUGGUUUCAGACGUAGAUGUGACUUUUUAACCGAUCAUGUGUUAGUUAACGUUAUAUCACGUUCAUGUUAGCCUGUUAGCAUUGAGCUUGGAUGGCUGUGCAUCUAUGUAUAUUAAAAAAAUACUGAGGUUCUCUAACUUUUGGAUUGGUUUCAGAUUAUACAAUAACACGGAUUUAUUAACACAAAAAGAUGAUUUGUAGCUGAAAAGACUUUGUUUAUAAGGGUUGUGUCUAUAAGGCUAAUCGGAUAAUGGAGUAAGAGCUUGGUUGUAAGCUAAUGUAUCAAACCCAAAUCGACUUCCGUGAAACCACAUGUAUCGGGAAAAUUAGCUUUACGGACGGUUUGUUUUAUAUCAAUAUGAGCUAUUGUUUCUGGAAACGGCUUUAAACCGGUUUUAAGUCCCGAUAUAUUUACAUUUAAAACGUCAGUGUUCUUGAAUGUGGAUGUUGUGUCGAAGUCUGAAUCGGGUCUCCCCUCUUAAAUCAGAACCUUGCUUAGAGUAAGACCAAAUGGGAUUCAUGUCGUAUUACGGCGGGUACAGUGGCGGAGAGAGGAAAUAAUAUGGAGUCGGGUGCUUGUGUACUUGGGCGGGUUUACAGGGCAGAAGGGAAGCGGAGUUGCGUAAUGCCAAUGCCUGAAGUGAAACGAGCCUCAGCUAGAGAUAACCUUAACAUUAGCCUUACGUUCACUUUGAAAACCGUCCAGAAAAACUAAUUAAUUUUGACAGUUUUCAAGGCAGUACCGUUAUCUCUCUCUCUCUCUCUGUAUAUAUAUAUAUAUAUAUAUAUAUAUAUAUAUAUAUAUAUAUAUAUAUAUAUAUAAAAAUCGGUGUAAUGGUCAUUUACUUGGGUCGUUGCAACAAGAAGGCUUUUUACUACACACUGUGCUUUACAGUACCAGUGUUGAAUAUCUCAUUUACAUUUUUAACCAAGUUAAGAUUAAAAUGGAUUAAAUGCUGCAAUUUAAAUUUUUUCUUGCUCUUUGGAGUGAAUGCACAAGCUCUUGGUGCAUAAACAAGGUCUGUAAAGUUGGAAAGACUAAAGUCUCAAAUCCAAAGAGAGAUUCUUUAUAGAAGUUAAAUCAAAUGCUAAAAUGGCUCAGUUUAACAUGCCCCCCCCCCCCUCCCCAUAUGGUAAGAUUUGCAUAAUGCAGCCCAAAAUUUCACGCAAUGUAAGGAGGAAUGACUUUUAGUGCGCUUUCACAUUAACACUUUUGGUUCGCAUCCGGAUUCGAUUGACGUCAGAGUUCGGUUCGUUUGGAUGAUGUGAACGCUGUCUUCCGAACUUGGGUGGGCGCCGCGAAACUCGGGUUCUGACCAGGCAAGUGAACCAAGUGUGAAAGCACCAUUAUUCUCACUGCAGUAUAGCUGCCGCCAUUGUAAAAGUGAAAUUACUUAGUUUAGCAUUUCAAAAGAGGGCACAACUUGAAAUCAGUGGUUAAGUUACAUUACAUUUGUUACAUAAGUUACGUAUUUACAACACUGUUCCAGAACAGUUCAACCCGAACAUUCAGAUGUUUGCAGUGCAUUUUAUGAAGGAAGAGGACUGUUUCUUGAGAGAGUAGCCUACAAUGCUAGUUUUAAAGGGGUCCUAUGAUGUUUUUUUUUUUAAGUUUUUAUGUUGUUUAUUUGGUGAAACAGAAUAUGUUGACAUGCUUUAAUGUUCAAAAAACGCGUUAUUUUUCAAAUACUGUAUAUUAUAGUAGGUCCUCUAUGCCCCGCCUCUCUCCAACACGUAGUUUUCUACAGAGUCCCACCCACUGACAAGCGCAGGCUGCUCUGUUGGCCAACUGAUCCAGUGCAUUGUGAUUGGCCAAACACCGCAAGCACACGUCGGAAAUGUAAUGCCCCUUUCCAUGAUUGCAUGCUUCAUCUUUUAAAAUAAAUGUUAAAGACAGUUGAUGGUGUACAAUAACAACUUUGUGAGGACAGUCUGGCACUUCUGACUUACAGCCUGUAAGUACAUUUACAUAUUUAAAUAAUUUGCCACUGACGAUUCAAACAUGAGUUUUGAGCAGUGUAGUGUAGCGCUUGUUUUUCAUUUCUCUGAUCACAAAUGCAGACAUGGUUUUAUGUUUAUGCAGCGCAAUAAGCAACCUGGAAAAAGACAAUAUAAGUCAUCAUAAUCAAUAAUUAUGUCCCACUGGAGGCAGCAAAUGCCUCAUUUGUAAUGGGUUUUACUGGUUUUGUCUCAUCAUGUGGGGAGACAGCAUGUACGGUUAGGGGCCAGUGUUGCCAGAUUGGAUGGACGAUUUCCAGCCCAAAACCUCACCAAACCCCAGCCACUCCAAAAACUGUCAAAAUAAUGUGAUGGAAUAUAUCCCUAGUGAUUGGCUAAAAGUAUGGCCUUGACAUCAACUUCAGCAUCAGCACCUCUGCACUGCAGUGUGCCUGUGUUUAUAACUUUGUGAUGACUCUUUGGAUGCAGUAUACCUCACACAUUUGGGCUUGUUUGUUAGCCAAUUAGCCUAUACAAUUUAUAUGUUUGAAAACCGCCAAAUUUUGUUCACGGGCCCAAGCCAGUUUUUACCUGCACAAUCAAAUUCAAAAGCAAACCCGUCCAAUCUGGCAACACUGUUAGGGAUGUAACAUUUCCAUCACAAGCUUGAGGUAUUUGGCCAAUCACAACGCCCUGGACAGCUGGCCAAUCAGAGCACACCUCAGUUUUCAGAACAAUGAGCUUUGUAAAAAUUCAAGGAGUUUCAGAUAGGUGGAGCAUUAGAGGAGAAACAUUAUGUGGAAAAUGUAUUUUUAUUUAUUUUAAUCUUGAGCCGCAUAAACCUGUUGCACUACACCAAAUACACCAAAUAAUGUUAUUUUUAGCAACAUCAUAUGAGCCCUCUUAAUUGUUGAAGGGAUAAUUCACUCAAAAACAAAAGUUCUAUAAUUUAUGUUGUUUUAAACCUGUAUGACCUUCUUCUAUGGAGCACAAAAUAAUUUAAAUUUUAGAGGUUGAUAUGAAUCAAAAGACACGCUAACAUUAACUCUACCUUGGUUACGACUCUUUUGUAAUUUGAAGAUAAAUCACAUAUUUGAAAUGCUGUGAAAGUGAAUACAUGUGUGAGCUGUCACUGUCACUUUAAAGAAGUUGUGUUUGACAAUGUCAGAUUGGGAAGGUUUGCUUUUAAGUGGCUUAUUUCGUUUUAGUGAACGUAGAUUUUCAUCAACACACAUUUGGACACAUUUAUAUCACAUAGCUUAACGCUGACUGUUUUCAAUGAUUCUGAUGUAAAAUUCAUGUAUUAUGUGUAAAUAAAGUAUAUUUGCAGUGUA